GGCCUUUAGGGUCCCUUCUAUGAUUCUGAUUCAGAGCCAUUUGUCAAUGAGACUCAAUGAGAGAAUACAGAUUGGGCCUCGUAUAAAUGACCAAUACGAUCCCCUUCCUCUCUUCCUCGGGACAGCAGCCCUGAGUCCUGGUUGGCAGCCCCUUCCCCACAGACAAAGGGGGCUGUGCUGGCAUGGGGGUGCCCAGCCUCGCUCGCUCUCUCUCUGCCGCAAGGAGAGCAGCCAGGUAACCUUUCCGCCCACCAUCCCCUUGCAGGUGGGAACACCGGCUUGAUGCAGAGCAUCAGACUCAACUUAAAGAACAAUAAGCCAUAGAGAGAAGGAGGCAUAAGAGAAGACCACGAAGAGGCCUCCUCCUCCUCACCUCCAGAGCCUCCUCGCUGAGCCCUCGAAGCAGAAGCACCACCACGUGGACAGCGGCCCUCCGCACCUCCGCCUCGCGGUCAGUCUUCACGAUGGACGUCAAGCACGAAGUCACCUGCACCAAAGACAAGGAGAGGGUGAAGAAGUCCCUGGCAGUGGUUCUCGGGUUAAUGGCUGGGUUAGUGGAGGUCUGGAAGGCAUCAAAAGCCCCAAGAUGGCUCACGUACCCCGUGGAGGUCCACGUUGCAAAUGGUGGGUGUAAAGAAACCGCUUUGGGAACAAUGGCUGCAAAAUGAAUGUGUGUGUGCAUUUGGUGAAACAAAGAACCAGAUGUGAAAAUUAUAUGGUACCUUCUUAUUGCUCCUCACUCUAUAUGUCCUACCCUGUUUCCCUGAAAAUAAGACAUCCCCGAAAAAUAAGACCUAGUAGAAGUUUUGCUCAAUUGCUAAAUAUAAGGCCUCCCCUGAAAGUAAGACCUACC